rnacentral:lncRNA from 1 species
CUUAAAUAAAAAAAAAAAACUCUUAGAAAAACUACAUUACAUUUAUUCAAACGAAAUAAACAGGAGACUACAAUUUUAGGAAGCAUGGUUCUUUUUUUUUAUAUACAUAUGACGUGGCUCUGUACUUUAACAAUUCGUCAUUGCGUGAGUGUGCAAUUGUUAAUUUUUGUAUUCUUGUCUUUCAUUUUUUUUUUGCUAAUGUACUUUGUCUGUAUGCCUUUUUGUGCUUCUUCUUUUUUUUACACAUUUGUUUGUUUUAUAUUGAUAAGGAUUAUAAGACAAUUUUGACCGAUGUACCCUUAUUGUUUACAAGUUUGCCUAUUAUAUCUGCUUGUUUUGUUCACACAUCGAUGUCAAUAUUAUCGAAUUUGCAAUUGUAAUACAAACAAGUGGUUCAGAUGGAUAUAAAACCAUGUUUAAU